GACGAACGCUGGCGGCGUGCUUAACACAUGCAAGUCGAACGGUAAGGCCCUUUCGGGGGUACACGAGUGGCGAACGGGUGAGUAACACGUGGGUGAUCUGCCCUGCACUUUGGGAUAAGCCUGGGAAACUGGGUCUAAUACCGGAUAGGACUACGCGAUGCAUGUCGUGUGGUGGAAAGCUUUUGCGGUGUGGGAUGGGCCCGCGGCCUAUCAGCUUGUUGGUGGGGUGAUGGUCUACCAAGGCGACGACGGGUAGCCGGCCUGAGAGGGUGUCCGGCCACACUGGGACUGAGAUACGGCCCAGACUCCUACGGGAGGCAGCAGUGGGGAAUAUUGCACAAUGGGCGCAAGCCUGAUGCAGCGACGCCGCGUGGGGGAUGACGGCCUUCGGGUUGUAAACCCCUUUCAGCACAGACGAAGCGUAAGUGACGGUAUGUGCAGAAGAAGCACCGGCCAACUACGUG
rnacentral:rRNA from 1 species